rnacentral:tRNA from 1 species
UUGGUUCAAGUCCUCUAUCCCCA